AUGCAUGUUGCUACCCUCGGGCGCAUUGUCUUGGUCAAAGCGGUCCUCACGGUCAUUGUGAUCUACCAUCUCACGCCGCUGGAGCUGCCUGUUGAGGUCUGGAAAAAGAUUGACAGCCUGCGACGUGCCUACCUUUGGGCUGGUUGUGAUAAGGUGUCGGGCGGAAAGUGCAAGGUUAACUGGGAUCUUGUUUGCAAG
rnacentral:rRNA from 1 species